rnacentral:rRNA from 1 species
CAGUAACCGCGGGAAUACGGAGGAUCCAAGCGUUAUCCGGAAUUAUUGGGUUUAAAGGGUCCGUAGGCGGUCUUGUAAGUCAGUGGUGAAAGCCCAUCGCUCAACGGUGGAACGGCCAUUGAUACUGCAGGACUUGAAUUAUUGGGAAGUAACUAGAAUAUGUAGUGUAGCGGUGAAAUGCUUAGAGAUUACAUGGAAUACCAAUUGCGAAGGCAGGUUACUACCAAUUGAUUGACGCUGAUGGACGAAAGCGUGGGUAGCGAACAGGAUUAGAUAACCCGGUAGUCCCUGUCUCUUAUAC